GGUCCGCCACCACCGUUGCGCGCCGUUGUCGCCGCCGAGCCAAGCGCCGUCGCGUCAGCACGGCUGUGCCACCACAGAUGAGGAGAGAUGCGUCGGAGGGAGAGAAGGUCCGCGGUGUAGAAAGAGAGAGAGCGCUCGCGAGGGGUGUCGGAGUUGCGUUCCGCCGCCAUGCUGUGCAAAGUCACCAUCGUGCCUCGAGCCUUGCCGUUGUCGUCCUAGGCACGAGCCUUUGCCGUCGUCGAUGGGGUUGAAUCCGCCACCGAUUUGAGCUGAGGGAAAGGAAACGUGUAUAGGAGAGAGAGCAGGGGGCUUCGUGGCAGCUCCAUCGCACCGCUUCUGCCGUCGAUCGGAACCCUAGCCACCGCCGUCGAAGACGCCACCGCCGCCACUGCUGUUAAUUGGGAUCAAAAUCGUUGCUGUGUUCCCAGAGCUGUCAUGGAAAUGGCUGAUUCGAUCCCAAUUCCUCCAUUGUUGAGACUGGCUGUGUUCACUUUCGAUACCUAUUCAAUUUGGAUUCUCUAUUCUGCUGUAACUACCAUUACCGUCGUGGAUUUGUUGCCACUGCUGCCAUGAAAC